rnacentral:rRNA from 1 species
GCUCUCUGGUGAUUCAUGAUAACUGCUCGAAUCGCAUGGCCUUGCGCCGGCGAUGGUUCAUUCAAAUUUCUUCCCUAUCAACUUUCGAUGUUUGGGUAUUGGCCAAACAUGGUUGCAACGGGUAACGGAGGGUUAGGGCUCGACCCCGGAGAAGGAGCCUGAGAAACGGCUACUACAUCCAAGGAAGGCAGCAGGCGCGCAAAUUACCCAAUCCCGACACGGGGAGGUAGUGACAAUAAAUACUGAUACAGGGCUCUUUUGGGUCUUGUAAUUGGAAUGAGUACAAUUUAAAUCCCUUAACGAGGAACAAUUGGAGGGCAAGUCUGGUGCCAGCAGCCGCGGUAAUUCCAGCUCCAAUAGCGUAUAUUAAAGUUGUUGUGGUUAAAAAGCUCGUAGUUGAACCUUGGGCCUGGCUGGCUGGUCCGCCUCACCGCGUGUACUGGCCCGGCCGGGCCUUUCCCUCUGUGGAACCCCAUGCCCUUCACUGGGUGUGGCGGGGAAACAGGACUUUUACUUUGAAAAAAUUAGAGUGCUCCAGGCAGGCCUAUGCUCGAAUACAUUAGCAUGGAAUAAUGAAAUAGGACGUGUGGUUCUAUUUUGUUGGUUUCUAGGACCGCCGUAAUGAUUAAUAGGGACAGUCGGGGGCAUCAGUAUUCAAUUGUCAGAGGUGAAAUUCUUGGAUUUAUUGAAGACUAACUACUGCGAAAGCAUUUGCCAAGGAUGUUUUCAUUAAUCAGGAACGAAAGUUAGGGGAUCGAAGACGAUCAGAUACCGUCGUAGUCUUAACCAUAAACUAUGCCGACUAGGGAUCGGACGAUGUUAUUUUUUGACUCGUUCGGCACCUUACGAGAAAUCAAAGUGCUUGGGCUCCAGGGGGAGUAUGGUCGCAAG